CGGGUCGUUGUCCCGGUUCCUGAUGCCGCCUUGGAGCUCUAGAAGGGGUAAUGCUGCCCCAGCUUGCGGGCACGAGCUGCUUCUAUGGGGUGAAACAUCCUGCUAUUUCUGGACUGUUUUGUUGCUUGGGCUCUUGUGCCUCUUGGAUGUUGAUUGUUAUAUUUUCACCAUAGGGCAAAAAUCUUGUUGCUUCAGCUCCACAAAGAGGUAAAAUUUGGGUAGUGGGGAAAGUGGAACUUUUUUGUUCACAAAUUCAGAACAAAGAUGUGAAAACACUGAUAUUUCUGUGAUUUGGUAUUGACCUUCCAAAUGAGAAAGGCUGAAUAUAGCAUGACCUUUGAAGCUGUGAAGUAUGGGGAGUAGCAGUAUGUGGUUUUGUAGCAGGAGGUCUAUGUAGUUAGAAUAUUAGCCAAACUGAGAGCAAUCAGACUUACAUCACAAAGGAAAGGAUGCUUUGUCAUAAGCAGAACAGAUCAUAGAAAAAGAUCCCAGAUACCUUGGCUCAAAGAAUAUUUCAGGCUGAUGAAGAAACUAAAACACAGACACAUAUGUAAUGAUUUUCUUAGCUUGCCUGCAGUUCCCCUAUGCUAGCAAAGCAUAGUGUCUGUCAACUUAAGCAGUAUCUGCAUGUCUUUGGUAUGUUCAUGAAUAACUGCAUUAUAAAUCUGACACAACUGCACUUGGGCACCUCAAUGGGAGGUGGUCUUGUAAUUUCAGAAUUGAAUAUAAUCUCUAUCUUGUAAAUCCAAGUAUAAUUGGUAUAAUUUCUGACCAUAUUUAGGACAUUCUAGAGACAGAGACAUGAAGUGACUCCAAAAACUCUGGUAUGAAGGAAGAAACAGCUUGUCCCUUGGAGAAGGCAAGAGUGACAUUUAGAGGAUGAUUCUUGAUUUGUUUAUGGAAGGGGCUGUGCAAAUCUAUUUUGAUGAACUCAGUGACCAAGACAUCCUUUCCAGUGCUGCAUUUAGGUCUUUCAGCUAAUGAGAGAAUGGUGUGUGGGGGGUGCACAGGAGUUGCAACCCAUCACUCAAAAUCCAGCAGUAUUAUUGGUUUAUUAAGGAAAUUAGUGUGGGGUUUUGUUUCAAGCAGCUCUUAUCAAGUAUCUCUCUGAGCUUUACAGGCUACAGUGCUUAUUGUAAGAUCACAUCUUGGUUCUGGCAGAAGUUAGUCUGUAUCAAAGAGACAAGGAAACCAUGCUAGAGAGAAAGGAA
rnacentral:lncRNA from 1 species